rnacentral:tRNA from 1 species
GGAGGGAUGGCAGAGCGGUUGAAUGCACCGGUCUUGAAACCGGCGAAGGUGAGAGCCUUCCCAGGGUUCGAAUCCCCGUCCCUCCGCCA